GUGGGUGGCCACCACCAGCCCCCCAGCACCAGCCUGUGCCUGCAGCUGCACUUCAGUGCACUCGUGGUGCCCUGGGGAGCACUCCAAGUGCUGUCUCUGCUUCGGUAGGAGUUAAGCUAUCCUGAACAUCUGGUAAAGCUGAACCUCCAUGGAGCAGCGGCCAUUCCUGCCUCAUGGGACCACCGAGCUCCAGCCAAAAGCAGCGGGGAUGGAAGCUGGCCUUGUCACCCCACAGCAGGACUGAAUUAACAUUUUUUAUGAGAGCAGUGCCACGCUGACAAGGUCCACCUAAAUAACUCACAGCAUGAGAUGUGCAGAAGAACCUCUUGGUCUCCCAGCUCACGGCCCAUCAGCAGAAGACUUCUUUUGGCCUGUUCAUCUCCAUGAGCGCUCACCUGGGGCAGUGAGGUGGCCAGCGUUUCCCUCAGGCCCCACCAUGGGAUGUUGUCUGACAUCUCCUCCACGCUCAUGCUUUUCAGUUUCUUUCCAUUGCCUGUAGUUAUGUCUGUGUGAACACCCAUUAAAAGCACAGGUGUCCUUCCUACACGGCGAACCAAAUAGGUGCAUGCAACAAAGCUUAAUGAAGUAAUUAGGAGACAAGCCCUCAGCUCUUUCACGCAGACCCUUCUCCCUCAGGGGAGGCACGUUUCCAGCUCCCUCACCUCUGUCAGGGCCACUGGGGCUGUGCCCUCCGCUCUCCUCACCCAGGCUGAGGCCAGCCCGAGGCAGCGGCGGGGAGGAAAAGGAGGCUGCCAAGCCCACGCGUGGGCAGGGUGAGGCAGGUGCUGCGGCAGGAGGAAAGGGCACGGCCUGACCUCCUGCCCGAGGCCCACGAACGGCCUUGGCAGCUCCGAGCACGGCUGGGAUAGAGCAGGAGUGUGCAGGGGCCGAACCCACCCAGCCUGCCCAGGAAACUGCCCACUGGUGGCAGCAGAAGCAGAGCUUCAGGUAUUUAUGCAGUAGCUGGGCAGUGUUUUUAGUGUUUUAAAAUCAAGAUACAGGUGUGUAAACAU